rnacentral:rRNA from 1 species
UCAGGGAGAAGUCUCUUCGGGGAUGAUUAAACCGGCGCACGGGUGAGUAACACGUGAGUGACCUGCCUUUUAGACUGGAACAACUUACCGAAAGGUGAGCUAAUGCCGGAUGAGUUAUAUAAGUGCAUGUUUAUAUAGGAAAAGUUGGGGAGACCUGACGCUGAAAGAUGGACUCGCGUCCCAUUAGCUAGUUGGUAGGGUAAUGGCCUACCAAGGCGACGAUGGGUAGCCGGCCUGAGAGGGUGGCCGGCCACACUGGGACUGAGACACGGCCCAGACUCCUACGGGAGGCAGCAGUGGGGAAUUUUGCGCAAUGCUCGUAAGAGUGACGCAGCGACGCCGCGUGAAUGACG